rnacentral:sRNA from 1 species
GUUACAGUGUCUGCUUUCAGCUUUGCCUCUGCUUCUCCAGGGUCUUUCUCAGGCAGUUAACCCAAUAUUUAUCAACUCUCUCCCUAGGCCCAGCACUUGGCAGAAUUUUUUUCUAUUUUGUAAAAGUAUGAGAUAUUCCUUGCUGUUUAGUAUUUGACAGUGUGGCUGGAGAAGUAAAGAUGGGACAGACGGACCCCUCCCACCCACCCCUCCUUGCUGACCACUUGUCCCGUGCCUUUCCAGUUCUGUCAGGCCAAGCAGAAGGCAGCCUUGCUGGAGCUGCUGCAUGAACUCUACAAUUUCCUGGCCAUCCAAGCUGGUAAUUUUGAGUGUGGAAAUCCAGAGAAUCUAAAAAGCAAAUGCAUUCCUGUUAUGGAAGCCCAAGAAUAUAUAGCCAAUGUGACCAGCAGCUCCUCCGCCAAGUUUGAAGCUGCACUGACCUGGAUACUGAGCAGUAACAAGGACGUGGGCAUCUGGUUGAAAGGAGAAGACCAGUCUGAAUUGGUGACGACCGUGGACAAGGUGGUCUGCCUGGAAUCUGCCCA